rnacentral:sRNA from 1 species
AUUCUAAAACAAUGCUUGAACAAGUAAUUUUGGAUCCGUAAUAUAGCCCAAAUCACAAAAAUACCCGAAAAAGUACUUAAAGGUCAAAAUUUGGGGUCGACAAAAAGUCAAUGAAAAAGUUCCUUUGUCCUGCUUCUUUCGUCGGAGGGCUCUCUUUGGGCUAUUCGAAAAGGUAUCACAUGCCAAGUUUGGCCUCACGGUAUAAAAGUUAUAGAGUCCUAAAGUUUUAACCAAAAAAAACAAAUUAAAAAAAAAGAGGGAUGCAACACGAGGACUUCCCGGGAGGUCACCCAUCCUAGUACUACUCUCGCCCAAGCACGCUUAACUAAAUGUCAAAAUUUGGAGUCGACAAAAAAUCAAUUGAUAUGUUCCAUUGUCCUGCUACUUUCAUCGGAGGGCUCUCUUUGGGCUUUCCGAAAAUGUAUCACAUGCCAAGUUUGGCCUCACUGUAUAAAAGUUAUACAGUCAUAAAGUUUUAACCAAAGAAAAAUAUUUAAAAAAAACGGAUGCAACACGAGGACUUCCCUGAGGUCACCAAUCCUAGUACUACUCUCGCCCAAGCACGCUUAACUACGGAGUUUUGAUGGGAUCUGGUGUAUUAGUGCUGGUAUAAUCUCAUCCGUUAGUAUAGGCAAUGCAAUGGUGUAUAUUCUUUUUUGAAGACUUGAUGAACCAUUCGUCGUGGGUCCCACCCGCUGUGUAGGGAUACCCCAUCUAGUCUUAACGAGCUUUGAUCAUGAAAAAAAUUCUAAAACAAUGCUUGAACAAGUAAUUUUGGGUCCGUAAUAUAGCCCAAAUCACAAAAUACCCGAAAAAGUACUUAAAGGUCAAAAUUUGGGAUCGACAAAAAGUCAAUGGAAAAGUUCGUUUGUCCUGCUUCUUUCGUCGGAGGGCUCUCUUUGGGCUUUCCGAAAAGGUAUCACAUGCCAAGUUUGGCCUCACGGUAUAAAAGUUAUAGAAUCAUAAAGUUUUAACCAAAAAAAACAAAUUAAAAAAAAAGAGGGAUGCAACACGAGGACUUCCCGGGAGGUCACCCAUCCUAGUACUACUCUCGCCCAAGCACGCUUAACUAAAGGUUAAAAUUUGGAGUCGACAAAAAAUCAAUGGAUAUGUUCCAUUGUCCUGCUUCUUUCAUCGGAGAGCUCUCUUUGGGCUUUCCGAAAAGGUAUCACAUGCCAAGUUUGGCCUCACUGUAUAAAAGUUAUAGAGUCAUAAAGUUUUAACCAAUGAAAAAAAUUAAAAAAAAAGAGGGAUGCAACACGAGGACUUCCCGGGAGGUCACCCAUCCUAGUACUACUCUCGCCCAAGCCCCCUUAACUGCGGAGUUCUGAUGGGAUCCGGUGUAUUAGUGUUGGUAUGAUCUUAUCUGUUAGUAUAUGCAAUGCAAUCGUAUAUAUUCUUUUUGGAAGAAUUGAUGAACCAUUCGCCGUGGGUCCCACCCGCUGUGUAGGGAUACCCCAACUAGUCUUAACGAGCUUUGAUGCAUGAAAAAAUUCUAAAACAAUGCUUGAACAAGUUAUUUUGGGUCCGUAAUCUAGCCCAAAUCACAAAAAUGCCCGAAAAAGUACUUAAAGGUCAAAAUUUGUGGUCGGCAAAAAGUCAAAGGAAAAGUUCGUUUGUCCUGUUUCUUUCGUCGGAGGGUUCUCUUUGGGAUUUCCGAAAAGGUAUCACAUGCCUAGUUUGGCCUCACGGUAUAAAAGUUAUAGAGUCAUAAAGUUUUAACCAAAAAAAACAAAUUAAAAAAAAAGAGGGAUGCAACACGAGGACUUCCCGGGAGGUCACCCAUCCUAGUACAAUAUUCGCCCAAGCACGCUUAACUGCGGAGUUCUGAUGGGAUCUC